UACGGAGGGUGCAAGCGUUAUCCGGAUUUACUGGGUUUAAAGGGUGCGUAGGUGGGUAGGAAAGUCAGUGGUGAAAUCUUCGGGCUUAACCCGGAAACUGCCAUUGAUACUAUUUAUCUUGAAUACUUUGGAGGUAAGCGGAAUAUGUCAUGUAGCGGUGAAAUGCUUAGAUAUGACAUGGAACACCAAUUGCGAAGGCAGCUUACUACACAGUUAUUGACACUGAGGCACGAAAGCGUGGGGAUCAAACAGG
rnacentral:rRNA from 1 species